GCCUCUGUCAAUCAAGGGCGAAGGCCGGGGGCUAGAAG
rnacentral:rRNA from 1 species